rnacentral:misc_RNA from 1 species
AUUAGGUUUCUUAAUUUUAGAGGAGUGGGUAGCUUCUGCUUCUAGCUUGCCAUGCAUGGGAAGACGCCGGUCGGUUCUUUGGGCAUACAUAUUUAAGUAUAGAUUGAAUUGGAGCUUGAUCUAGCUAAUAUCCCCAUUAGCUUUAGGGCACAUGGAAUGGGUAGCCUAGCCUAUUGCCAGUUGGGUUUACUUGAUCUUAAUAUAGCUAGCUAGGCCUAAGAUAGUUCAGAAAUGAACCCGUGAACAUGAGUACAAGGGCGCGGGAAUUGAAUGAGAAAG